AGUGGCGGACGGGUGAGGAAUACAUCGGAAUCUGCCUAUACGUGGGGGAUAACCUCGGGAAACCGGGACUAAUACCGCAUACGACCUACGGGUGAAAGCAGGGGACCUUCGGGCCUUCGCGGAUAGAUGAGCCGAUGUCGGAUUAGCUAGUUGGCGGGGUAAAGGCCCACCAAGGCGACGAUCCGUAGCUGGUCUGAGAGGAUGAUCAGCCACACUGGAACUGAGACACGGUCCAGACUCCUACGGGAGGCAGCAGUGGGGAAUAUUGGACAAUGGGCGCAAGCCUGAUCCAGCCAUGCCGCGUGGGUGAAGAAGGCCUUCGGGUUGUAAAGCCCUUUUGUUGGGAAAGAAAAGCAGUCGAUUAAUACCCGAUUGUUCUGACGGUACCCAAAGAAUAAGCACCGGCUAACUUCGUGCCAGCAGCCGCGGUAAUACGAAGGGUGCAAGCGUUACUCGGAAUUACUGGGCGUAAAGCGUGCGUAGGUGGUUUGUUAAGUCUGAUGUGAAAGCCCUGGGCUCAACCUGGGAAUUGCAUUGGAUACUGGCAGGCUAGAGUGCGGUAGAGGAUGGCGGAAUUCCUGGUGUAGCAGUGAAAUGCGUAGAGAUCAGGAGGAACAUCCGUGGCGAAGGCGGCCAUCUGGACCAGCACUGA
rnacentral:rRNA from 1 species